rnacentral:tRNA from 1 species
GCCGGGGUGGCGGAACUGGCAGAGGCGCUGGACUCAAAAUCCAGUGACCGCAAGGUCGUGAAGGUUCGGCUUCAACUCUUUUCUCCGGAACUA